UACGUAGGUGGCAAGCGUUGUCCGGAAUUAUUGGGCGUAAAGCGCGCGCAGGCGGCCUUUUAAGUCUGAUGUGAAAGCCCACGGCUCAACCGUGGAAGGUCAUUGGAAACUGAAAGGCUUGAGUACAGAAGAGGAAAGCGGAAUUCCACGUGUAGCGGUGAAAUGCGUAGAGAUGUGGAGGAACACCAGUGGCGAAGGCGGCUUUCUAGUCUGUAACUGACGCUGAGGCGCGAAAGCGUGGGGAGCGAACGGG
rnacentral:rRNA from 1 species